AUCAUACUCCUUCUAUCCGGAAAUACUUGUCAUCAAUGUAUCUAGACGUAUUUUAGUUUUAGAUAUAUUAUUUUUUAUCCAUUUUAAUGACAAGUAUUUUCGAAUGGAGGGAGUACUAU
rfam:Triticum urartu cultivar G1812 contig335714, whole genome shotgun sequence.